rnacentral:tRNA from 1 species
AGAUAAGUAGCUCAGUGGUAAGAGCUUCUUACUACAAAUUAAAAGACAGAAUUCAUUUUUUUUUAAUUUA